rnacentral:lncRNA from 1 species
CUUACCACUGAGCCAUUAGUAGGGUUGCCCGGGAACUACCCAGAGAGCCUGUUCUACCUGCCCUGAUCUCAACCCAGCCAUCCUUGAAUGAACUCCAGAGACAGCUGUAUUUUCAUAGGAAAACCUACCCUUUUGAUUUUAGUGCAAGAGAAGCUGUAAGUCCAAACUCCUAGACUUACAUAAAACACAAUGGAGAUUAAAUAAGGGUGACAGUGAAUUCCCUUCCUGUCCAAGAAUUAAAUCCUCUUAGAGGUGAGACUCGCAUCACCACAGAGCCUGGGGAAAGGACAUGACUGAUUGAGUUCAUAUUGUAAUACCUGGUACCUCUCCUGCCUUGGGGAAGGAAACAUAAAAGAAAGAUGCCUAUACCAUGAAAUACUCAAAUAUGUUCUUCAGAAUUCAAGGACUUAAAUUAUUCAUUGACUGGGGCAUUUCUUUUUUAUUUUAUUUUUUUGAAGGAGAAUAAAAGAGGUAAAAAAUACUCUAAUCUUUCUGU